CUCUGGCCUGGGACUCCUGCUGCAUCCUGCUGCUCCCAGCCCCCCCGCCCCGUCACCUGCAGGGCUGACAUAUGUGCAGUGGGUGAGACAUCUGGUUUGGAACAAAGCCAUCUUUCAGCCAGGAAUAAACUUCACUUGUUCUUCAACCACAAAUAACAGACUGAGGGCACCUGACAGGAAGAGUUCCUGAGGCUAAGAAGUGAGUCAUGCGGAAGCCAGUUUAACUAUAGUAAAUAAAGGCCUUAUAAUAGGUCCAUUGAACUGUGAUGACAGCUGCUGCUGGGAGGCAGUAAAACGUGUGGUAAAAGUUCUCCAGUCUUGGUAUUGCUGGUAGGUGUUGCAGAACGGAUCCUGAUUCAGAAAAAAAGUGAGGUGGAGAAGCUUUUAAGGAUCUCACACUUUUCACAAGACUAUUGGAUAACUACGGCCAUUUGAAGAGACCCUGGUAGCUUGGAGAAAAGAGCAUGAUUCUUGAAAGAUCGACUAAAUGAGAAAAUCCGAUCACAAACAAAAGAUCCUUGGGUGGUGCAGCUACAGGAAAUUAUAAUCUUUAAGGAUAUUUGGAAUGCUGGAAAAUAUACAGGUGCUCAUGUGAAAUCCAGUCAUGUAAAUUUCCUUUGUCAUGAUGC